CGGCAGCUCCUACAGGGGGAGGCGGUGUUGCUUUUAGUGCUGCAGGAUUUUCUCGAGGAAGUGCUGCGCGCGUUCGGAGCGGGCGCUGAUGUC
rnacentral:tRNA from 1 species